GAUGAACGCUGACAGAAUGCUUAACACAUGCAAGUCAACUUGAACUUCGGUUUGGGUGGCGGACGGGUGAGUAACGCGUAAAGAACUUGCCUCACAGCUAGGGACACAAUUUGGAAACGAAUGCUAAUACCUGAUAUUAUAAUUAUAUGGCAUCGUAUAAUUAUGAAAGCCAUAUGCGCUGUGAGAGAGCUUUGCGUCCCAUUAGCUAGUUGGAGAGGUAACAGCUCACCAAGGCGAUGAUGGGUAGCCGGCCUGAGAGGGUGAUCGGCCACAAGGGGACUGAGACACGGCCCUUACUCCUACGGGAGGCAGCAGUGGGGAAUAUUGGACAAUGGACCGAGAGUCUGAUCCAGCAAUUCUGUGUGCACGAUGAAGUUUUUCGGAAUGUAAAGUGCUUUCAGUUGGGAAGAAAAAAAUGACGGUACCAACAGAAGAAGUGACGGCUAAAUACGUG
rnacentral:rRNA from 1 species